AUAUUUUCUGCAAUUAAGCAAUGACAUUCUGAAACAUUUGAGUGUGUAAAAUAGACGAAACCCCAUAGCCUCACGGCACGUAAACGGGGGGAAUGCGUCUCUAAGGGUGCACGGGGUGUGAAUGAAUGAAGAAGCGUGCACUUGUAAGAACCAGCACAACCUCAAAACUCGUUAAUGAUCCUUCCGCAGGUUCACCUACGGAAA
rnacentral:misc_RNA from 1 species